UUUUGGACAAUGGGGGAAACCCUGAUCCAGCAAUGCCGCGUGAGUGAAGAAGGCCUUCGGGUUGUAAAGCUCUUUUGUCAGGGAAGAAACACCGGCUCUAACACAGUCCGGGAAUGACGGUACCUGAAGAAUAAGCACCGGCUAACUACGUGCCAGCAGCCGCGGUAAUACGUAGGGUGCAAGCGUUAAUCGGAAUUACUGGGCGUAAAGCGUGCGCAGGCGGUUAUACAAGACAGGCGUGAAAUCCCCGGGCUUAACCUGGGAAUGGCGCCUGUGACUGUAUAGCUAGAGUGUGUCAGAGGGGGGUAGAAUUCCACGUGUAGCAGUGAAAUGCGUAGAUAUGUGGAGGAAUACCAAUGGCGAAGGCAGCCCCCUGGGAUAACACUGACGCUCAUGCACGAA
rnacentral:rRNA from 1 species